rnacentral:rRNA from 1 species
AGGGUGUAAACGCUGCAGACUUGGUGUUGGAAGCCCUUUGGGGGCAUUCAGUGCCGGAGAGAAGUUGUUAAGUCUGCUACUUGGGGAGUACGUCCGCAAGGAUGAAACUUAAAGGAAUUGGCGGGGGAGGCACCGCAACGGGAGGAGCGUGCGGUUUAAUUGGAUUCAACACCGUAAAACUCACCAGGGAAGACUGUUACAUGAAGGCCGAGAUGAAGACUCUGCUAGAUUUUCAGAGAGGUGGUGCAUGGCGUCAGUGACU